rnacentral:rRNA from 1 species
GACAGAGGGUGCAAACGUUGUUCGGAUUUACUGGGCGUAAAGCGCGUGUAGGCGGCUUCGCAAGUUGGAUGUGAAAGCCCACGGCUCAACCGUGGAGGGUCAUUGGAAACUGGGGGACUUGAGUGCAGGAGAGAAGAGUGGAAUUCCACGUGUAGCGGUGAAAUGCGUAGAGAUGUGGAGGAAUACCGAUGGCGAAGGCAGCCUCCUGGGCCAACACUGACGCUCAUGCACGAAAGCGUGGGGAGCAAACAGG